UACGUAGGGGGCAAGCGUUGUCCGGAUUUAUUGGGCGUAAAGAGCUCGUAGGUGGUUCGGUAAGUCGGAUGUGAAAUCUCCAGGCUCAACCUGGAGGGGUCAUUCGAUACUGCCGUGACUAGAGUUCGGUAGGGGAGUGUGGAAUUCCUGGUGGAGCGGUGAAAUGCGCAGAUAUCAGGAGGAACACCGGUGGCGAAGGCGGCAUCCUGGACCGGCAUUGACGCUGAGGAGCGAAAGCCAGGGGAGCAAACGGG
rnacentral:rRNA from 1 species